rnacentral:rRNA from 1 species
GGGCCCGCACAAGCGGUGGAGCAUGUGGUUUAAUUCGAUGAUACGCGAGGAACCUUACCAGGGUUUAAAUGCAGAACGACAGGGGUGGAAACACCCCCUUCUUCGGACGGACUGCAAGGUGCUGCAUGGUUGUCGUCAGCUCGUGCUGUGAAGUGUCGGGUUAAGUCCCAUAACGAGCGCAACCCCCAUUUCUAGUUGCCAGCGGUUCGGCCGGGGACUCUAGAGAAACUGCCAGCGUAAGCUGUGAGGAAGGUGGGGAUGACGUCAAAUCAUCACGGCCUUUAUGCCCAGGGCUACACACGUGCUACAAUGGCCAGUACAGAGGGCAGCGAAGCCGCGAGGUGAAGCUAAUCCCAGAAAGCUGGUCCCAGUUCGGAUUGGAGUCUGGAACUCGACUCCAUG